rnacentral:ncRNA from 1 species
UUAUAGACUAUGAUGGGAAGAGUAGGUCAAAGUCACGUCUUUAAGAGAGCUGCCGGUAGGUGAGAGGCUGCAGAUGUGCUGAUGCGAAAUACAUCCUGGAGUCUCAGCCUGAAAUAGUAGUAGGGUUUGGCGGGGUACGCCCGAUAUAGCGUAUUAAGUGUAUUUACAUUGUAAUAUACACUUAACGAGGGAAAUUCUGUGAGGGAUUUCCAAUUUAGAGGUGGUACCGCAAUUUCUGCCCUCUGU